CUGACAAUUAUACAAACUGAAAGGUUCCAUAUGUCAUUUCGGUAAAGUAAUGAUAAAAAGAUCGAUGUACAAUUGUCGAAACCCCAUAAAUUCAUGGCUCUUUCUACAUAACCAACGAUUCGACUUCUCAGAUAUAUAUAGGCUGGCUCUUUCAUAUCCUUUUAAGGCGGUAAAGUCGGUUUCGAAGGCAAUGAAAUUAUGUGCGUACAUAGAAAUCCCAGCCAGUCCAAGACGGACAUUCAAUGAUGAAGUGGUUUUUACGCUACUUGUAAUUUUGCAAUACUAGUCGUACGACGCGUCCGCGAGCCGCGUGCCGAAGAUGAGUAUUGCAAGCACACGAGGUCUUUAAUUCUCUUCAUAGGUGAAACCACCAAAACAUCCAGAAAAGACGACUCAGAGUGUAACCCACUAAUUUUCCCAACCUUGUUUCAUUUCAUUCCGGUUUAUGCACCUCCUUCCGCGAAUAUGGGGGAGAUAAAAAAUUUGCUGACUCUGGUCUAUUGGUCUUCAAAUGUUUCAUUGUUGUGCACUGCUUCAAAUGUUUCACUGUUGUGCACUGCUUUAAAUGUUUCAUUGUUGUGCACUGCUUCAAAUGUUUCGCUGUUGUGCACUGCUUCAAAUGUUUCAUUGUUGUGCACUGCUUCAAAUGUUUCACUGUUGUGCGUAUACGCACACAGGAUUGCAUUACCGAUUUCUUAGAGCUUGAUAAACGCACGGAUGAAAGAUGCUUCUAUCAAUGCCACAGAAGAUCAAUCACAAAGUAGUGAUGGCACCGCUAGAAUGGGGUGGACCCGCUGAACAAUUCGAUAUCGACGACGUGAACGAUGAGGAGUGAAUCGACUCCUCCACCAGGAACCAGUGGCGGAAUAUCCAUCGCCGUCCGAUCCGGAUCUCCGACUCAACCUCAUGGUCCUCUGCACCGGCGGAGAUCAACUGUGGUAUAGCUGGGCCCUCCUCGUCAUCAUCCUCGAUGUCUAAUAUUUGUGGCUCCUCUUCGCCGAUUCGGUAGACUUCACUUAAUCAUCUAUUACUUCAAUUAUCUUACUGUUACGUCCUGCUGCAUUCAGUAAAAAUUUAGAUUUUAAAGUUAAGAUGAAAUCGGAUUCAGAGAAAGCGAGCUCUGCACUAGGACACAAGUAAGGUGCAGAGCUGGCAUUCUGGAGGUGCGCCCGGGUUCGCGGGGGCCGAAGUCUACACGACGUCGGAGGGUCUCCGGGCGCGAAACCCCGGGUCAGCACCAGGUUCAGUGUCCUGGAGGCCCUACCGAGCUCCAGGAAUUUGAAGACACAGCACAAGGUGGACCCCACCUAGGAGGGCCUCUUGCCCCAGCUCCUAGUCCAGGAGGCCGCGGAAAAUCUGGACCUCGGCCAGGAGUGCACUUCAUUUUAGAAUUUUGAGCGGCAACGAUCUUCUGGUGAAACAACAGCACCCCAAAAGUUCCGGGGAAGUAAGGAACCAAGGAAGCACGGAACCAAAACCAGAGGCACAAGACCCGUUCUAUUUUCCUCGAAACACCGACACACCUAAGGAAGUGCCGUCAGCCCUGAUCGAGAUUCGGACUGAGACUAGUUGGAUGGAAUCCGGGUUUGUCUAAGUCCGCCGGAAUUGCACUUACUUCUAAUGUGUGAAGUGGGGAGCGGAAUUCCGCGAGGAGUGAUGACAGAAAGAUUUCGGUGGUGGUCACGAUCGUGAAUUUGUUCUGUCCCGUAUUGUUGCCGAGGCGAGAUCUGAGUCCCAACCUGUACAAAAUGGCUGGAAGAAAACAUGAAAAUGGAUGUGUGUUGUUGGAGGGGAACCGAUGGCGUUUUCGAUUAAUGGGUCGGCGCGUUCAGGAGGUGUUACGCGAGUUGCUCAUUCGGGGGAACUGCGCUGGACGGCCAAGUUCACUUAUUCGAUGCUGCGCUUUAGCCGGCGCAUUGCUCGGUUUUAGAACGAGUAGUUCCAGGACGAGCUUGAUAUGACUUGGGGGUUCAAGGCCUUUUUAAUGAAUUCGCGCCGGAGGAGCGUUGGGACUAAGGUAGAAGAGUAUAAAUAAUUGUUAAUAACGAUAAUCCCUGUAACAAUAUAUUUAAA